rnacentral:rRNA from 1 species
UGGAAUGCGCUUAGAUUAAAAGCUACGGCGUCUAAGGAUGAGUCUGCGGACUAUCAGGUAGUAGUCAGGGUAAAGACCUGACUAGCCUACNACGGAUACGGGUUGUGAGAGCAAUAACCCGGAGAUGAUAUCUGAGACACGAUAUCAGGCCCUACGGGGCGCAGCAGGCGCGAAAACUUCACAAUGCGCGAAAGCGCGAUGAGGGGAUCCCAAGUGCUUGCACGUAAGUGUAAGCUGUUUUUCUGUUUAAAAAGCAGAGAGAGUAAGGGCUGGGUAAGACGGGUGCCAGCCGCCGCGGUAAUACCUGCAGCUCAAGUGGUGGCCGCUAUUAUUGGGCCUAAAACGUCCGUAGCCGGCUGAGUAAAUGCCUGGGUAAAUCGUGUGGCUUAACCAUACGAAUUCCGGGUAGACUAUUCAGCUUGGGACCGGAAGAAGUUAGAGGUACUCCUGGGGUAGGGGUGAAAUCCUGUAAUCCUGGGGGGACCACCAGUGGCGAAGGCGUCUAACUAGGACGGGUCUGACGGUGAGGGACGAAGCCCUGGGGCGCAAACCGGAUUAGAUACCCGGGUAGUCCAGGGUGUAAACGCUGCUUGCUUGAUGUUAGCUGGGCUCCGAGCUCGGCUAGUGUC